GUCUGUCUGUUGUCAAUUACUUCCCAGGCUCCUGACUACAUAAGUUGAUAUUGGAAAAUUUUCUUGCCAACAGAAGGAAAUGCAAAAGCUGAUGGGAUAUCAUUACAAGGACAAUAUGGUUGUGCCGAGGCAUAAAAAUCCAAAGAACUCAUUCAAGUAGCGACAAAUACACACAUACCCCCACUCUUCACAUGCCUUUUGCUUUUGGAUGAUGUAUCUACCAACCUGUAAGAGAGGCCAUCUUUCAUAAGAACCAUCCUGUGGUGGGGACAUCUUUAUGAUGGGCAAGAUUAAUCUGCCAAGCAUCGCUGAAGUAAGCAGAAGAUCCAAGAAUCUCCAGUUUUGAAAUCCACAUGAGAUGCUGGUGGCAGGCUUCCAGAAAGAACCCAGUGGCAGCUGACGUCCCAAGGAAGGUUUGGAAUUGUUUAGCGGCCCGGUCGUCCAAGAAAAAUCAUCACAACCAGGUCUGGCGAUUCGUAGAAGGCUCUUCAAAUUCAGAGAAGUUGAGUCUGUUGAAUAUAAAAAAGGAGGAACAAAAUCAACUCCUUUGUGGAGGGGCUGGAGCAUGCCUGUGAGGGAAGCCACAAAUGUGGAGUCCUGGAGUAAACAGUGCAACAAGGUCCAGCUUGCAGGUGCUGUGAUCCCAGACAAAGAGACUGAAGAUGUACAAGGUCUAACAGUCACUCGGGGAUCUUCCUGCCAGCGCAGUGGGCUGUGGUCAACACCUCUCUGGAGGACAGAGGCUCCCCACCGGAUAUUUCACACAAGUUGAAGGGGAAAAUGAACACAAAUGUGUGCGUCUCCUUUACCUGGUUAUGUUUGAUGUCUUCAGCGGGCGCACCAUAGGAAUUCCUAUACAAAGUUGAAAUUCCAGUGUU